UGACAUACGAUGAAACUGGAGAUUGCUGCUCAAAUGAAGCAGGUAACUUCAGCGGAGAAUGUCCGAUUCAUGAAACCGGGCGACAA
rfam:Pseudobacteroides cellulosolvens ATCC 35603 = DSM 2933 ctg1, whole genome shotgun sequence.